AGAACAACCGUUCGGUGGGGUGCGAACGAUGGCGGAUGCGAGACAGCGACCGACUGCCGCGAUUUUCGCCGCGUGCGCCUCGUGCGGUUACGUCGCGUCGUGGGGACGGUGUGGCGCUGGCGGAUGUACACUUUUCUAGAGGUCGCAGCCCAACCCGAGCCACCACCAUUUGGGGGAAGCAAUGGGACUUUAGGGAGAAACAGGAGACGAGAGGGCCGCGCCUGAGCAGCGCGCGCAUUCUAUCGACCGCAGGAACGGCACAGCGUGGCGCCACGCGUGUCACGCGCCACAUGGAAAGCGCAGGAAGUUGCAGUCCGAACGCUUGCAGGCGCAAGUUUCAUUCGUCGGGAUGACACACACGGAAAAACAUUUUCGUUUUCGCGGCGAUGGGCGAUAUUUUUGUUUGCCGCUUUCUGACGCCGACAAUCUAUUUAUAGUACGCACAAAAGCGAGAUGAAGAAAUUCCCAGCGUUAGGUACUUUUAUUUGCACAGAUCACAAAUAUUGGAAAACACUUUCUUUUUAUAAUAAAAAAAUAGGCAAACGUAA